rnacentral:lncRNA from 10 species
CAGAAAUUCUUCUAUUUUUAAUUUUAAACUAACAUACGACAAAAGGAUUUCCUGAUUUAUCCACCAUUUCAAAAAAAGGUCCGAAGAAAAUGAAGGAGCCUCUUCCUGUACUCAUGGUACAUAAGCAAAGUAAAUCAUUGCUUGACCCUCAGCCCACAUGGGAAAACCACCCCUAACAUUACAACAGCAGUAACAACAACAAACAUCUACGUGAGCUUUCUACAGCCUCUGAUGACUUAUGUAAGUGAGUAGAUGAGCUUGCUUUUUAUCUGCCUGUUCCAGAUGCAGAUUUCACUGAACGAUGAUUGAAGGGGAAAUUCCAAGAGAAGGCCCCUGCACAGCCCAUGGCCUCCUGGAGUCUAUCUCAUAUAUCACAAAGGUGGAGAGUUAAAGAGGACACAAUGGAACAUCUAAUGUGCUCUUUUCCUCGUGGUAUUUUGAUGUCUAUGGGAAAAGAAUUAUGAGGGAUUGCCCAUUUAAACUAGCGCACGCCAGGUCUCUCGGGGUUGGCAUUCAGUUUGGGCAGUGAAGCACAUUCUCAGUUUCAUGCAGCUGGCUUGGGAGUGGCAGACACAUUUCCACUAUUCUGGGCCUGGUUCAGAGAGGAAGAUCACUGGUUACUGUCUGUGGCUGCAGUAGCUUAGGGAGCCAAUGAAGACGGGGUGAGGGGCUGAGGCAGAAUGCAAUUCAGUGAGCUGAAAAUUCACCAGAACACUAAGGCUCAUAUUCGAAAAAAAAGAACCAUGUACAACCACUUCUGACUCCUGCAACCACUUCUGACCCUGACCUUUCAUUUUCUAGAUCUUAAAAAAAU